rnacentral:rRNA from 1 species
UACAGAGGGUGCAAGCGUUAAUCGGAAUUACUGGGCGUAAAGGGUGCGUAGGUGGUUAUGUAAGUUGGGUGUGAAAUUCCUGGGCUCAACCUGGGGACUGCGCUCAAUACUGUGUAGCUAGAGUACUGUAGAGGAAGGUGGAAUUUCCAGUGUAGCGGUGAAAUGCGUAGAUAUUGGAAGGAACAUCAGUGGCGAAGGCGACUUUCUGGACAGAUACUGACACUGAGGCACGAAAGCGUGGGGAGCAAACAGGA